rnacentral:rRNA from 1 species
UACGUAGGGGGCAAGCGUUGUCCGGAAUUAUUGGGCGUAAGGAGCGCGUAGGCGGUCCGAUAAGUCGGCUGUGAAAGUCAGGGGCUCAACCCUUGAAAGCCGGCCGAUACUGUCGGACUAGAGUCCGGAAGAGGCAAGUGGAAUUCCCGGUGUAGCGGUGAAAUGCGCAGAUAUCGGGAGGAACACCAAUGGCGAAGGCAGCUUGCUGGGACGGUACUGACGCUGAGGAGCGAAAGCGUGGGGAGCGAACAGG